GUAUUUGAAACAUCAGACUUAUGAAAGACCCCAGGGAAGAGGUGUCUGGCAUGACAUUCUCCACACAUCUGGCUCCUGUCACCUUCCAUACCACCUCCUGCCCCACCUCCCCCUUCAAACCUCAACACAGGAACCCCAAGUCAUGACAAAGUCAGUGGCCUUGUCACCUCCCAGUUGGGUUCUGAAUCCACAUAUGAAGAUGACGUCUGCCACGGUUUUGUACUCUUUAGUUUAAUUAGAUCCCAUUUGUCAAUUUUGGCCAGUCUACCCAUCUGACACAGGUCUAAUAUCCAGAAUCUACAAGGAACUUCAACAAAUUUACAAGAAAGAAACAACCCCAUCCAAAAGUGGGCAAAGGAUAUGAACAGACACUUCUCAAAAGAAGACAUCUGUGCAGCCAACAAACAUGAAAAAAUGCUCAUCAUCACUGGUCACUAGAGAAAUGCAAAUCAAAAUCACAAUGAGAUACCAUCUCACAUGUCAGAAUGGCAAUUAUUAAAAAGUCAAGAAACAAUAGAUGCUGGUGAGGCUGUGGAGAAAUAGGAACACUUUUUCACUGUUGGUGGGAAUGUAAAUUAGUUCAAGCAUUGUGGAAGACAGCGUGGCGAUUCCUCAAGGAUCUAGAACCAGAAAUAUCAUUUGACUCAGCAAUCCCAUUACCGGUUAUACACCCAAAGGAAUAUAAAUCAUUCUACUAUUAAGACACAUGCAUGUUUAUUGCAGCACUAUUUACAAUAGCAAAGACAUGGAACUAACCCAAAUGCCCAUCAAUGAUAAACUGGGUAAAGAAAAUGUGGUAC
rnacentral:lncRNA from 10 species